CCUACGGGAGGCAGCAGUAGGGAAUAUUGCUCAAUGGGGGAAACCCUGAAGCAGCCACGCCGCGUGGAGGAUGAAGGUUUUCGGAUUGUAAACUCCUUUUGUUACAGAAGAUAAUGACGGUAUCUAACGAAUAAGCACCGGCUAACUCCGUGCCAGCAGCCGCGGUAAUAAGGAGGGUGCAAGCGUUACUCGGAAUCACUGGGCGUAAAGAGCGCGUAGGCGGGAUAGCAAGUCAGAUGUGAAAUCCUAUGGCUUAACCAUAGAACUGCAUUUGAAACUGGUAUUCUAAAGUAUGGGAGAGGUAGGUGGAAAUCUAGGGGUAGGGGUAAAAUCCGUAGAGAUCAAGAGGAAUACUCAUUGCGAAGGCGACCUGAUAGAACAUAACUGACGCUGAUGCGCGAAAGCGUGGGGAGCAAACAGGAUUAGAUACCCUUGGAGUC
rnacentral:rRNA from 1 species